AUGCCUGAUUAGCUAGUUGGUGAGGUAAAGGCUUACCAAGGCGACGAUCAGUAGCUGGUCUGAGAGGACGACCAGCCACACUGGGACUGAGACACGGCCCAGACUCCUACGGGAGGCAGCAGUGGGGAAUUUUGGACAAUGGGGGAAACCCUGAUCCAGCCAUGCCGCGUGAGUGAAGAAGGCCUUCGGGUUGUAAAGCUCUUUCAGCCGGAACGAAACGGUCACGGCUAAUACCCGUGACUACUGACGGUACCGGAAGAAGAAGCACCGGCUAACUACGUGCCAGCAGCCGCGGUAAUACGUAGGGUGCAAGCGUUAAUCGGAAUUACUGGGCGUAAAGCGUGCGCAGGCGGUUUUGUAAGUCAGAUGUGAAAUCCCCGGGCUUAACCUGGGAACUGCGUUUGAAA
rnacentral:rRNA from 1 species